rnacentral:rRNA from 1 species
AUUGAACGCUGGCGGCAGGCCUAACACAUGCAAGUCGAACGGCAGCACAGAAGAGCUUGCUCUUUGGGUGGCGAGUGGCGGACGGGUGAGUAAUGUCUGGGAAACUGCCCGAUGGAGGGGGAUAACUACUGGAAACGGUAGCUAAUACCGCAUAACGUCGCAAGACCAAAGUGGGGGACCUUCGGGCCUCACACCAUCGGAUGUGCCCAGAUGGGAUUAGCUAGUAGGUGGGGUAAUGGCUCACCUAGGCGACGAUCCCUAGCUGGUCUGAGAGGAUGGACAGCCACACUGGAACUGAGACUCGGUCCAGACUCCUACGGGAGGCAGCAGUGGGGAAUAUUGCACAAUGGGCGCAAGCCUGAUGCAGCCAUGCCGCGUGUAUGAAGAAGGCCUUCGGGUUGUAAAGUACUUUCAGCGGGGAGGAAGGCGGUGAGGUUAAUAACCUUGCCGAUUGACGUUACCCGCAGAAGAAGCACCGGCUAACUCCGUGCCAGCAGCCGCCCGUAA